CAGCAGCUAGAGAGGUAGGAGCUCCCUAAGCCAUGAUGUGAAUAGAAGCCUAACAGCAGCUGCUGAACAGAGGCACUGAGAGAUGCCAUGCUUGGUGUCACAUAGGAAGUCUGUGGCAAAGCAGAAAAUUGAACUCUCUCAAAUUUCAGGCUCAUGCACUGAGCACUGGGCCAUCUGACUGCACACAUGCUGCACUAGAUAUUACCAAGCUACUGUAUGGAUAGACAAGAAGAGAGAAGUAUGUUUGCUACCUACACAUUGUUAGCAAUAGUAACUGGCUGAGAUCCAGCUUAAAAGGUAUCAUCCAGAUUACGCAUGAUUCCAUAUCCUUAGUAAUGUUCUUAAACUGGACCAAGUCAGGGUUACUGGAUUGCACUUGUAUGGAAUUAUUGUUACUAUGAGUAUACAUGUCAUAGCCACAAGUUAUAACUAGUAAACCCUUAAUUGUAGCUGACCAUUCACAAAUAGCUUGAUAUUUACAUCAUUGUGCUAGUCUUCAAACCCAUUGUGCAGAACUAUCUUUGUUCUGUUGCCAUGCCUGAAAGAUAUCUAUUCCUGAUCAAUCUUGAUUGUUAUCCAACUGACAGGUUAUCGUUACAUUAGUCGCCCUAUACAACUAUACAAUAGGAAGUCUUCCCAUGCUGACAUUAUCAUACAGUCCACUCAACAAUCUCCUAGAGUCAACAUCCCAGAUUGUUCUAGACCAAACCACCCCUUUGGUCAUAAUGGAUGACAUUAGGAGAUUUGCUUCAGUCUUGUCUUCUGUACACUGUCAUCUAUAAAUAUUGUCAACAGGAGAGUCAUUAAGAAUAUAGCUGUUACAUCCAUCUUCAUGAUAAAGGGUCCUGUAGAUAUUAAGUAAAUAUACACAUUCUAAUAUCACUCAGUAACCUUUCUACAAUUUGUUAGGAUGAAUGGAACCAUUUUAUACCCUCUUUCCAGUUUUUCCUGACUUCUAACCAAUAAAUAGUGGGGCUUGCCUUAUCAACAAUGUCAUAGGGACCAUUCCAUAAAGGUGAUAAGCAGUGCUUGGUUUCUU